rnacentral:rRNA from 1 species
CGGUAAUACGGAGGGAGCUAGCGUUGUUCGGAAUUACUGGGCGUAAAGCGCACGUAGGCGGCUUUGUAAGUUAGAGGUGAAAGCCUGGAGCUCAACUCCAGAACUGCCUUUGAUACUGCAUGGCUUGAAUCCAGGAGAGGUGAGUGGAAUUCCGAGUGUAGAGGUGAAAUUCGUAGAUAUUCGGAAGAACACCAGUGGCGAAGGCGGCUCACUGGACUGGUAUUGACGCUGAGGUGCGAAAGCGUGGGGAGCAAACAGGAUUA